AACGCGUCCGCGCCGGAAUCAUCACCGUCGUACAACGCCAUCACCGUCGUCGAACAUAUUUUAUACAAUGCGCACCUUCGAUUUAAUUAUCAGUGAAUUUGAUGGAUUGCUACAGGUUUCCAAUGAAUAUCCUACUAUAUGGUGGUAAUUAUUCCCUAGCGGUGUUAUUGUAUUCGUAUACCUAUUUGGGUUUCAGAAGCCACACGUUUCGUUAUGGAGCUUGAUACUAGUCACUAGAUUUGUCGAAUAAACGUUCGGGAAUCCUGCAGAACACCGAAUACAUUGAUACAUAUAUGAAUAACAAUACAUAAGUAUUAUAUGAUCGUGCUUCGUCUAACGGCUGAGCCACAGAGG